rnacentral:rRNA from 1 species
AACGUAGGACACAAGCGUUAUCCGGAGUUACUGGGCGUAAAGGGCGUGUAGGCGGAUUGAUAAGUCUACUCUGAAAGCUUCUGGCUAAACUGGAAGAGGCGAGUGGAGACUGUCAGUCUAGAGUCCGGAAGAGGAGAGUGGAAUUCCCGGUGUAGCGGUGAAAUGCGCAGAUAUCGGGAAGAACACCCGUGGCGAAGGCGGCUCUCUGGGACGGUACUGACGCUGAGACGCGAAAGCGUGGGGAGCGAACAGG